UUUUGUAUUAAUUUAAAAUUAUAUUACCACAUAAAUAUAAAUUUAUAUUAAAUAUAACUACUUUUUAGAAGUGUUAGAUCAAUAACUAGUAACAAAAUUUUAACAAAAACCACAAUACCUGUAUCUUCGAUUAGAAAACACAUAACAAAAAGCAAAAAAUUGUGUCUCAAAUGAAAAAACACACGCCAUAAUACGUCAUGGCGCGCCAUAUCAUGCCUUGUCAUGCGUCACGCCUAACAGCAACGUUAUGAAGCUUUUCGUAACGGUGGAGCCACGCCUCACGCCAUGAUGCGCCUUUUAGAACACUGGAAAAUAUAUUCUUAUUUUCAGCCAAGUAAACAUGACAAUGGAAUGGAAUGGUUCAUUUCAUUCCGCUGUUCAUUGUAGCUUUUAUAGUUAACAGAUCAAGUUAUGGAGUUCUAAAUGCAUUAAACCCUGCUCCAGAAACAAAGACAAUUAGUCAAAAACAUUUAUAAAACAUAAAAAAAUCAAAUGAUACUUUUACCAGAAUCAUAUGCCACACACACCACCAAGCUUCCCUCGAGAAACCGGAAGACAUAAUGCUUAUAAAUCUGGAAAAAAAAACAAAAACAAAAAAUUUAGUUCUAAUUCCAUAUAACAUUUAUAAAAAAUUGAAAAAGAAGGAAAGAUAGGGAUUACAUUCUACAUGGAAGUAAAUAUGGAUCAAUGAACCAUCCUUUAUCUUUUGUAUCCUUGUGAAAUUCAAAAAGAAAAAUAUAUGACAAUAUCUAUAUCAAAAUUAAGAAAUGAAAAUAAAAAACAAUGAACAUGCUUGACAUUGAACAGUAGUUAGAAAAUAAAUUUAGGAAGAAAUGAGCAAAUUGAAGAAAAUUUACAUGAAUCCUUAAGAUCAACUUUAGUGAAAUUUAAUCUAGUUGUCUUCAAAUAGAUUAUAUAAAGGGAAAACUAUCAACUAAAAUAGAUUACCGUCAAUAAUUUAAUAUCAUCUCAAAUGUAUAUAAACCUACCUAGAUGUAUAUUCAAAUGUUUUUUUUGCAAAAUUUCAAUUUUUUUUACCAUGAUAUGAAGCAAUUUGUCAUUUUUUAAAACAUAUUGUGCAAGAAUGCUUCACAUUUUUACCAACUCAUCGGUACUUGCAAAAUGAGGCUUUAAUAAUUGGAUAUUGGUAAGAGUAAACAAAAGAAUUAAAGAUCAAAUUACUAAAAUCAAAAGUACAUAGUUUUAUAUUUGGAAAAAAUGAUGGCAACAUCAAAACCUUAUAAUUUUUAUAAUAUUCUAUAUUUAGUAGUGAUAGAUCAACAGCAAUCUUGUUAACAUUUUUUGCACAUUUUUUUCGCAUAUAAGCGAAUAAAACUUGAAUACCAUAAAUUUUUUUCCGUUAAACGAUUCUCAUAUAUAUUAUGUACUUCCAAGCGAGACAAUAACACAUGGCGUUCACAAAUCUGUAAGUAAAAAAAUCACUUUUACUAUUAGAGGGGCAGUUUUGACAAAUUUCUCAAAUUUUGAGUCACACUUCAUCUCUAAUGGGCAACAUGGGUAAGAUUUAUGACAUAAGGACCAACCACAUAAGGAUAAGAGAAAGUGAAUUGAACUUGCAAUUUCCACCAAAUCACCGGGACUGUUUGUGUAACAUGAUCAAACAAUUU
rnacentral:lncRNA from 1 species